ACGACCUACGGGACGCAGCAGUGAGGAAUAUUGGUCAAUGGCCGAGAGGCUGAACCAGCCACGUCGCGUGAGGGAUGACGGCCCUACGGGUUGUAAACCUCUUUUGUCGGGGAGCAAAGAGAGUCACGUGUGGCUCAUUGAGAGUACCCGAAGAAAAAGCAUCGGCUAACUCCGUGCCAGCAGCCGCGGUAAUACGGAGGAAGCGAGCGUUAUCCGGAUUUAUUGGGUUUAAAGGGUGCGAAGGCGG
rnacentral:rRNA from 1 species